rnacentral:rRNA from 2 species
UACGGGGGGGGCAAGCGUUGUUCGGAAUUACUGGGCGUAAAGGGCUCGUAGGCGGCCAACUCAGUCGGACGUGAAAUCCCUCGGCUUAACCGGGGAACUGCGUCCGAUACUGGAUGGCUCGAGUGUGGGAGAGGGAUGCGGAAUUCCAGGUGUAGCGGUGAAAUGCGUAGAUAUCUGGAGGAACACCGGUGGCGAAGGCGGCAUCCUGGACCACGACUGACGCUGAGGAGCGAAAGCCAGGGGAGCAAACGGG